AACGAACGCUGGCGGCAUGCCUAACACAUGCAAGUCGAACGAGACCUUCGGGUCUUUUGGCGCACGUGUGCGUAACGCGUGGGAACCUGCCCUUGGGUUCGGAAUACCUCACCGAAAGGGAUCCUAAUACAAGUGAAUGUCUUAGGACCAAGGAGUUAUCGCUAUGGGAUGGGCGCGCGUUGGUUUAGCCAGUUGGUAGGGUAAUAGCCGACCAAGGCGACGAUGCAUGGCUGGUCUGGGAGGAUGACCUGCAACACUGGGGAUGAGACACGGCCCAGACUCCUACGGGAGGCAGCAGUGGGGAAUAUUGGACGAGGGGGGAAGGCCUGGUCCAGCAAUGCCGGGUGAGUGAUGAAGGCCUUAGGGUUGUGAAGCUCUUUUAGCCGGGAUGAUAAUGACAGUAACGGGUAAAUAAGCUCCGGCUAACUACGUG
rnacentral:rRNA from 1 species